GAACGUCGCGAGACAGUUCGGUCCUCUAUCCUCUGUGGGCGUAGGAAAAUUGAAGGGUUCAGACCUUAGUACGAGAGGACCGGGUUUGACGCACCUCUGGUGUUCCAGUUGUUCUGUCAAGGGCACUGCUGGGUAGCUAAGUGCGGAACGGAUAAGCGCUGAAAGCAUCUAAGCGCCAAGCCAUUCCUGAGAUAAAUUUUCCCUGAAGGAUCGUGGAAGACGACCACGUUGAUAGGCUGGGGGUAGAAGUGCAGCAAUGUAUGUAGCUCACCAGUACUAAUCAUCCGUUCGACUUAAUUCCU
rnacentral:rRNA from 1 species